rnacentral:lncRNA from 1 species
AUAGCAACAGAAAUGAAACAUAUAUAGGAGCAACCAAAAGGAACUUCAAGAAUCGACUAGCAGAGCAUAAAAAAGAGUAAUGAUGUCGUUAUUUUGAGAGCGUGCAAGAUAUGCAGGAAACAGAAGAAGUAUGGUUUUCACCGUAUGACUAUGAGGCGUUAUAGCCAUCCUUACGCCUAGAACCAGUAUGCCUGAAUUUUUAUAGAUUCCUAAUGCAAAACCUACCAGCAGACCAAACAGACCCAGCACUACUCCGAGAAAUCGCCCAUCUCAUCUGUUACAAUUCAUACUUCAUGUACAAGGGCAAAAUAUUUAAACAGAUGUUAGCAGUGCUGAUAGGUAGUCCUAUAGCAGGGACAUUGGCAGAAAUUGUACUUAGAGAUAUAGAAGAACUCAAAUUAAGCAAAUUCCAGCAGGAGAUAGUAUUAUAUGUACGAUAUGUAGACGAUGUGCUAAUGGGAUGGAAAAAUAACCAAAAAAUG